ACAAAGAAAAUAAACUAUAGUCAACUUCCAGACAUGAUCGGAGGUGGAAUAAAAGAAAAAGGGCGGCAAAAAUGUUAACAAUGAAAACUCUCCUCAACGCCUCAAUUCUUAUAAUUAUCUUUCAUGGAACUUUAUGUCACUUAAAUCGAAGAGAUGGUGGCAUUUUAGAUAUAUCAGUGACAUCAAAAGUGUUAACACUAAACAGAGAUAUGACAA